UUAUUACUGAGUUUGAUGAUGGCUCUGAUUGAACGCUGUCCAAAGGCUUGACACAUGCUAAUCAUACAUAAUUUUACAGAAAGGUUUAUGUAAAAAUUUUCCUCUUCUAAAAAAAUUAGGUGGUGUAAAGGUGAGUAUAAUAAACUUUGUUUCGCCUUAAAGUAAGGAAAAAAUUCCUUAUAAUUCAUAAAGAAAAACUAAUACGUUUUUUCGCUUUAAGAUUUUUAAGUAUUUUUCAAGUAAGUAGUAGUUAAGGUAAUUGCUUAACUAGCUGUGACUUGUAGUCAAAACUGAGAGGUUUAUUGACCACAUUGGGUCUGAAAAAACCCCAAUACGUAUAGUACAGCAGUGAGGAAUCUUGGUCAAUAGCCUAACGGCUGAACCAGCAAUUUGGGGGAAUGGAAGUAUAUAUCUCAUGAUGCAUAUAUACAAAUCGACUACGUCGUAUAAAGUUCUAAAUAGAUAAUUGAUUAUGACAGAUUUCUAUUUAUGUGUCUCGACCAAUUCUUGUGCCAGCAGUCGCGGCAACACAAGUGAGACUAGUGUUAUUCAUCUUUAUUAGGUUUAAAGGGUACCUAGACGGUUUUUUUAGCCUGAAAAAUGUACAAAAAAACUAGAGUUUUAUAUGAGAGGUAAAUAUUAGGACUAUUGGUGUAGAGAUGAAAUUUUUUGAUACUAAUUGGAUGUAUAAUGGCGAAGGCGAUCCUCUAUUUAUAAACUGACGUUAAGGGACGAAGGCUUGGGGAGCGAAUAGGAUUAGAUACCCUAGUAGUCCAGGCAGAAAAUUAUGAAUGUUAUAGACUAAGUAUAUAAUUAGUGUAUAAAUGAAAGUGUAAGCAUUCCACCUCAAGAGUAAUGUGGCAACGCAGGAACUGAAAUCAUUAGACCGUUUGUGAAACCAGUAGUGAAGUAUGUUAUUUAAUUCGAUGACCCUCGAAAAACCUUACCACAAUUUGAAUAAAACAUGUCAAGAUAGACGGAUUUACCGUAAGGAGCAUGGAUUAAACAACUUAUUUUAUUAAUAGGUUGUUUUUUCAUACAAGCGUUGCACGGCUGGC
rnacentral:ncRNA from 1 species